rnacentral:lncRNA from 1 species
UUAUUAAAUAUUAUGAACUAUUUCGAUUAAUAACAAUGUGAUUUUCAGUAUUUUACGUUGUAAGUUACAAGUGUAGUGCCGGUAGCUUAUCGGUGCUUUUUUAAGGACUCUAAGGACUGCAUGUGUAUUGGUUGAAAACUUUUCUUGUAAGUGUUAAAGGAAAGCGAAAGGAUAUUCAAGGAUAUUUAUCGCAACCACAUCUUGGAUACAACAGAAAAAAAGCAUUCAGAACAUCUUUCCCAUGAAAGAAAAUUCCUUACAAGUCGCAUGAAAUUCUUAUGGACUACGCUGUAGACUUAUAAAGCAGGGACUUGGAGUCUACUACAGGACCUCUACAGUACUAGAGAGAUAUCAACCACCAUUAGCUCACUUUUCCAAACCCCAGGAGGAUACCAUCAAUGAGGAGACCACCUUCGUGAAGCAGGUCCUUGAAGUCUACUACAGGACCUUUGCAGUACUAGAGAGAUAUCAAUCACCAUGGGAUCACUAUUACCGACCCUAGGAGGAUACCAGCAAUGAAGAGACCACCUUCGUGAAGCAGGUACUUGAAUUCUACUACGGGACCUCUGCAGUAGUGGAGAGAUAUCAACCACCAUGGGAUCACUAUUACCAACCCCAGGAGGAUACCAGCAAUGAACAGACCACCUUUGUGAAGCAGGUCCUUGAAGUCUACUACAGGACCUCUGCAGUAGUGGAGAGAUAUCAACCACCAUGGGAUCACUAUUACCGAUCCCAGGAGGAUACCAGCAAUGAAGAGACCACCUUUGUGAAGCAGGUACUUGAAGCCUACUACGAGGACUUUCUCUAGUACAAGAGGAUAUCAACUACGACGAGAUCACUAUCACCAACCCCAGGAGAAUACCAGCCAUCAUGAGACCAUCUUCAUCAGGGCAACGGGAUUCGACGGCCACUACACAACAUAGGGGACAUCUACCACCGUGGGUUUGUCCAUGACCAACCUCGGAAGAAUCAGCCAUCGGAGAUCAUCAUGGCAGCGAGGACUUCAGGACUCUGCAGCAGGUUCAUCGUGGGAUCAUCGGUCGUCGUGAACAACGGGGGACCACUUCUAACGGGGGCGAAUCCCUCCCAACGGUAAGAGCCAUCGUCCAAUGGCUGGAAUCAUCUUCCAACGGUAAGAAGUCCCUUCCAACAUCGACGAUCACCAUUCAUAGGUAAGACUUAUCCCUCCGCGAACAGUAGCACCUUCAAGUUGCUUGAAGGUGGUCCUAUCCGCGGAAGUAAGGUACUUGUACCUUAUCUUCUGCAGAUAUGGCCAUCAACGAGCAAUUUGAAAGUGUUUCUGUUGGCGUAGGAAUAAGUCAAGCCUCUGAACGGCGAUCUAGUUGUUGUAAGGGACUUCUAACCGCUUGGAAGAUGUUCCUGGUCAUUGGAUGGCGGCUGUUACUACUUGGGAGGAAUUCAACCCUGCUAGAAAUGGUCCCCCGCGCGAGGGGAGGGGACCCGUAUCCCCGACUCACCGCGCGCGGACAGGGGAGCCGUCCCCCACCGGCGUCGAAUAACAAAAACACUCGAUAUAGGGAUGCACCAGCCAAAAAAUACAAAAUUGUUAAAAUAAAAACUUUAUUCA